GGGGCUGUGGCUCAGUUGGAUAGAGCAAGCGCCUCCUAAGCGCUAGGUCAUCGGUUCGAUCCCGAUCAGUCCCGUCA
rnacentral:tRNA from 1 species